UUCUGAUUGAUAACAUUUGAGUGAGUGGCGGACGGGUGAGUAACACGUGGGUAACCUGCCCUAAAGUGGGGGAUAACAUUUGGAAACAGAUGCUAAUACCGUAUAACAAUGACAACCGCAUGGUUGUUAUUUAAAAGAUGGUUCUGCUAUCACUAAGAGAUGGUCCCGCGGUGCAUUAGCUAGUUGGUAAGGUAAAGGCUCACCAAGACCGUGAUGCAUAGCCGACCUGAGAGGGUAAUCGGCCACACUGGGACUGAGACACGGCCCAGACUCC
rnacentral:rRNA from 1 species